rnacentral:rRNA from 1 species
UAAGACGAACCGUGCGAACGUUAUUCGGAAUCACUGGGCUUAAAGCGCGUGUAGGCGGAAGGGUACGUCAGUCGUUGAAAUCCCUCGGCUCAACCGAGGAAGUGGCGCUGAUACGGCCUUUCUGGAGGAACGUAGGGGGACCUGGAACUUCCGGUGGAGCGGUGAAAUGCGUUGAGAUCGGAAGGAACGCCCGUGGCGAAAGCGAGGUCCUGGACGUUUUCUGACGCUGAGACGCGAAAGCCAGGGGAGCAAACGGG